rnacentral:rRNA from 1 species
CAAUAGCGUAUAUUAAAGUUGUUGCAGUUAAAAAGCUCGUAGUUGGAUUUCUGGUGGGAGCGAUCGGUCUGGCGCUUAGCGCGAGUACUUGCAUCGUCUCCGGCCAUCCUUGGGGAGAGUCUGUCUGGCAUUAGGUUGUCGGGCAGAGGAUCCUCAUCGUUUACUGUGAAAAAAUUAGAGUGUUCAAAGCAGGCUUAUGCCGUUGAAUAUAUUAGCAUGGAAUAAUAAGAUAGGACUUUGGUACUAUUCUGUUGGUUUGCGCACCAAAGUAAUGAUUAAUAGGGACAGUUGGGGGUAUUCGUAUUCCGUUGUCAGAGGUGAAAUUCUUGGAUUUACGGAAGACGAACUACUGCGAAAGCAUUUACCAAGGAUGUUUUCAUUAA